GUGAAUCGUUGCCUUCAGUGCUGGCUCCGGCAAGUGCACGUUGGUGACUUUCAUCCAACACUCUUGUGAACCUUUGGCCUCUUGCUGGCCUCGGCUGGCAGAGGAUUUUUACACCCACUCGCAUGUAAUGAAAUUAUUGUCGUGCGCAAGCACUAAUGUACAACUUUCAACAACGGAUCUCUUGGCUCUCGCAUCGAUGAAGAACGCAGCGAAAUGCGAUAAGUAAUGUGAAUUGCAGAAUUCAGUGAAUCAUCGAAUCUUUGAACGCACCUUGCACCCUUUGGCAUUCCGAAGGGUAUGCUCGUUUGAGUGUCAUUGUACUCUCACACUUCUCAUCCUUUGGAUUUGGAGCGGUGGACUUGGGUGUUGCCGCUUUACGGUGGCUCACCUCUAAUGCAUUCGUGCAACUCUUGGUUGGACAUAGUACGGCGUGAUAAGUGUCUUCGCCGGCACCUCGCAAGAGGGUGGCUGAUUGAGAGCUCUGUGCUUUCAAACCGUCCUUGGACAAUGACUGACAAC
rnacentral:rRNA from 1 species